CACGUAGGGGGCGAGCGUUGUCCGGAAUCAUUGGGCGUAAAGAGCUCGUAGGCGGCUCGGUAAGUCGGGUGUGAAACCCCCAGGCUCAACCUGGGGACGCCACCCGAUACUGCUGUGGCUAGAGUCCAGUAGGGGAGUGUGGAAUUCCCGGUGUAGCGGUGAAAUGCGUAGAUAUCGAGAGGAACACCUGCGGCGAAGGCGGGUUGCUGGGCCGACACUGACGCUGAUGCGCGAAAGUGUGGGGAUCAAACAGG
rnacentral:rRNA from 1 species